UGAAAGACUUCUAUAUUUGCCUGGUUUGC
rnacentral:sRNA from 1 species